UUAAGCAUAUCAAUAAGCGGAGGAAAAGAAACCAACAGGGAUUGCCCUAGUAACGGCGAGUGAAGCGGCAACAGCUCAAAUUUGAAAUCUGGCCUUCGGGUCCGAGUUGUAAUUUGUAGAGGAUGCUUUUGGUGCGGUACCUUCCGAGUUCCCUGGAACGGGACGCCAUAGAGGGUGAGAGCCCCGUCUGGUUGGAUACCAAUCCUCUGUAAAGCUCCUUCGACGAGUCGAGUAGUUUGGGAAUGCUGCUCUAAAUGGGAGGUAUAUGUCUUCUAAAGCUAAAUACCGGCCAGAGACCGAUAGCGCACAAGUAGAGUGAUCGAAAGAUGAAAAGCACUUUGAAAAGAGAGUUAAAAAGUACGUGAAAUUGUUGAAAGGGAAGCGCUUGUGACCAGACUUGGGCUUGGUUGAUCAUCCUGGGUUCUCCCUGGUGCACUCUUCCAGUCCAGGCCAGCAUCAGUUUGUUUCGGGGGAUAAAGGCUUCGGGAAUGUGGCUCCCUCGGGAGUGUUAUAGCCCGUUGUGUAAUACCCUGGAGCAGACUGAGGUUCGCGCUCUGCAAGGAUGCUGGCGUAAUGGUCAUCAGCGACCCGUCUUGAAACACGGACCAAGGAGUCGUCUUCGUAUGCGAGUGUUCGGGUGUUAAACCCCUACGCGUAAUGAAAGUGAACGCAGGUGAGAGCUUCGGCGCAUCAUCGACCGAUCCUGAUGUUCUCGGAUGGAUUUGAGUAAGAGCAUACGGGGCCGGACCCGAAAGAAGGUGAACUAUGCCUGUAUAGGGUGAAGCCAGAGGAAACUCUGGUGGAGGCUCGCAGCGGUUCUGACGUGCAAAUCGAUCGUCAAAUAUGGGCAUGGGGGCGAAAGACUAAUCGAACCUUCUAGUAGCUGGUUUCCGCCGAA
rnacentral:rRNA from 1 species